GAAACUGACGCAAUUGCAAUACGUUGGGUGUAAUAAGUGUCAAAUUAUAUUUGAGUUCAGCUUCGCGGCCACACCCGUUAAAAUCCUCUGCGGGGUCCACCUAUUAGGCCACCAGUUGCUGAUGUCAGCAUCAGAGACUGGUCUUGGCAAGAGGCCUAGGUUAUCAGACGUCGGUGAUCAUGAAGCUCAAAGAGGAGAGGCGGAUCACCCAAAGAGGAGGCACACUGAUCUUAACGAGGAGCCAAAGCAAUGAAGUUCCAAAUUGGUUUAUGUAAGCUCCAGGUUCAGCUGUUGAAACGAACCAAAUUUGCAGGCAAUGGUCUGGUAAUCAAGAGGUGUGUUGAGGCGCCAGCAGUUUCUGAGAUUUCAUUUUAAGUUGCAUAAGGCAAUACCUUUCUUCUCAAUUGAUGCAUCCAGCAUUUAUCUGCAGAUGAACAAAACAGCAAGCCGGAUUUAUCUAAUGCUUUCAUUCCACACGUAUACUUUGUCUAUGAUUCUUCUGUCUCAUUCAUUGGAAUUGAUGUACGUUGGGGAUGAAAUGUAACAGAUUUAUCUAUUUCAUAAUUUCCAAUCAAGGUUUGUUGAAAAUCAUACAUUAAUUGUAAACAGGCGUCCAAAUAUGCCCAAAAUACUUCUUUGAAA